GCGGCAAAAGCUCAAAUUUGAAAUCUGGCGUCUUUCUUAGGCGUCCGAGUUGUAAUUUGAAGAUGGCAACUUUGGGAUUGGCUCUCGCAUAUGUUCCUUGGAACAGGACGUCAUAGAGGGUGAGAACCCCGUUCAUGGCGAGAUGACCCAAUUCUAUGUAAAGUGCUUUCUAAGAGUCGAGUUGUUUGGGAAUGCAGCUCUAAGUGGGUGGUAAAUUCCAUCUAAGGCUAAAUAUUGGCGAGAGACCGAUAGCGAACAAGUACAGUGAUGGAAAGAUGAAAAGAACUUUGAAAAGAGAGUGAAAAAGUACGUGAAAUUGUUGAAAGGGAAGGGCUUGAAAUCAGACUUGGUAUUCAGUGAUCAACUGUCUCUCGGGACUGUGCACUCGCUGUUUACUGGGCCAACAUCGGUUUGGAGGGUGAGAUAAAAGCUAGAGAAUGUGGCACUGCUCCGGUAGUGUGUUAUAGCUCUGGUCAAUAUCACCAUUCUGGACCGAGGACUGCGCUUUAUGCUAGGAUGUUGGCGUAAUGAUUUUAAGCCACCCGUC
rnacentral:rRNA from 1 species